CCGCGCCCUCCCGCCUGCCCCCCUUGCAGGCUGGGGAGGAGGGCCAUGGCUAGCCCGGAGGAGCGGCUCGCUCCCCACCCCCAGGCCCCACUGCGGGAGUCUGGGGACGAGCCCGGCCGUGUCCAAGUCCCUCUGGAACCCCGGUGCGGCGCGGCCAGCGGGCGGAGUACAGUGGGCCUGAGCCUGGCCCGGGAGCUGCUUGGCUGCAGCCGGGAGGAGCUAGCGGCGCCCCCGCCCCUGUCCCGGUCCCUGUCUCCCGCAGGCCACGCCAGCCCCACUGGGGGCCCCGGCGCCCUCUCCGCUCUCCGUGCCGGAGGCUGUGGUUGGGUGGCGGCCCGUGCUCCCUGGGCGCUUGCCUUCUCCUCCCCUGUCCCCUCCUCCUCCUUUUCAUCUUCCUGGUACUUCUGGCCGCCGCCCCCCCUCCCCCCUCCCCCUCUUGUCCCCUCCUCAUCUGCCUUCCACCUCCCCGCGCGUCUCCCGAGAAGGGAGGGCGCAGCGGCGGCUGGAGGAGGAGGAGGAGGCGGCGGCGGCGAUGCUGGCGGCGGCGGCGGAGGAGGAGGACAAGAGGCAGCUCCCUUGAGCGUCCCCCCAGGCAGUAGUCACCGCAGCAGCGGUGGCAGCAGCGGUGGCAGCGGCGGGCGGCGGCGGCUCUUCCUCUCGCCUGCGAUUCAAGGCUUGCUGCUCCCUGCCCGCGCCGGGCCCCGGCCAUCUCCGCCGCCGCGGCUUCCCCUACACCCGGGUGCACGCCGCGCGGACUCCUCGGAUUUUCCGGGCGCCGGCGGGGGCUGCCCUGGCCUCGGCCCCGGCUCUGCCGCCGGUGGCCGAACUCUGUGGCGGCCCCGAGGCGCCGCCUUCCCCCUUGCCACCGUUUGGCCGCUGCCCUUCGGCUCCGACAUGGAAGAUGGACCCUCUAACAAUGCGAGUUGCUUCCGAAGGCUGACCGAGUGUUUCCUCAGCCCCAGUAAGUGGCCCGGCCCCACGUUCCCCGUGGCCGGGUGGUUUUCUGGCUUGGUGGGGACAAAUCGGGGGUUCAGAUCGUGGGGUGGGGAGGGAACUGCUACGGUGGUGGGUAGUCUGCAAGGUGUGUGUGUGUACCAGACCAAUAUUGGCCAGUGGGUCUCAGGAAGCUGGUGGCACCUCAGGGACGUUCGGGACCGCCCAUCAGCGUAGGGACACCCGGCUUUCCCCAGCCCGGCGUGCGCACAGAGGAAGCGUGACCCGGAGGGUGUUGGAGCCGGACGUUUAGAAACUAACCUGCUUCCUAGAGCUGUCCCUGGCCACAUUGACC
rnacentral:lncRNA from 1 species